CGAAGGGGGCUAGCGUUGUUCGGAAUUACUGGGCGUAAAGCGAGUGUAGGCGGUUGCCCAAGUCAGGUGUGAAAGCCUUGAGCUCAACUCAAGAAAUGCACUUGGUACUGGGUGGCUAGAGGACCGGAGAGGAUAGUGGAAUUCCCAGUGUAGUGGUGAAAUACGUAGAGAUUGGGAAGAACACCAGUGGCGAAGGCGGCUAUCUGGACGGUUACUGACGCUAAGACUCGAAAGCGUGGGGAGCAAACAGGAUUAGAUACCCUGGUAGUCCACGCCGUAAACGAUGGGUGCUAGACGUUGGCGGGCUUGCUCGUCAGUGUCGCAGCUAACGCGUUAAGCACCCCGCCUGGGGAGUACGGCCGCAAGGUUG
rnacentral:rRNA from 1 species